GCCUCUAUCUUGGAUAAACUCUUUUUCUAAGAAUACGGCAUGAUGGCUCACAAUCAUAUUGUAAUCCUUAGAAAGAUAGUAAUAUCCCAUGAUUUCUUCAAGAUAUUCUAUAAAACGAGCCCUAAAGGAUCUAGCCUCUAACUUGUCCGUCUGCUGUCGCUUGACAUGAGCCAAACAUCUUCAAAUCUUGAGGUACCCAAGAGUUGGCUUCUUACCAUGCCUAACUC
rnacentral:lncRNA from 1 species